GACGAACGCUGGCGGCGUGCUUAACACAUGCAAGUCGAACGGUAAGGCCCUUCGGGGUACACGAGUGGCGAACGGGUGAGUAACACGUGGGUGAUCUGCCCUGCACUUCGGGAUAAGCCUGGGAAACUGGGUCUAAUACCGGAUAGGACUCCUGGCUUCAUGGUUGGGGGUGGAAAGCUUUUGCGGUGUGGGAUGGGCCCGCGGCCUAUCAGCUUGUUGGUGGGGUAAUGGCCUACCAAGGCGACGACGGGUAGCCGGCCUGAGAGGGUGACCGGUCACACUGGGACUUGGAUACGGCCCAGACUCCUACGGGAGGCAGCAGUGGGGAAUAUUGCACAAUGGGCGCAAGCCUGAUGCAGCGACGCCGCGUGAGGGAUGACGGCCUUCGGGUUGUAAACCUCUUUCAGCUAUGACGAGGCGCAAGUGACGGUAGUAGCAGAAGAAGGACCGGCCAACUACGUGCCAGCCGCCGCCGUAA
rnacentral:rRNA from 1 species